rnacentral:lncRNA from 1 species
GGACAGCUUUCAUCAGGAGGCUGAGAGCCCUCCACAGACCUCAUCAAAACAGAUUGCUGCUUUUUACUACAUCGAAAAGUGUGCGUGACUGAGACUGGAUUGGUUGAUCUGGUAGAUAAAUAUGCUGGACCAAACAUCAUAGACCUGAUGUAAAGAAGUCAAUUAAGUUAAAUUAAACGAAGGCAUAAACGAUCAAUUCACGCUUGGCUUUGUCUCCAGGAUGCCAAGAACAAAUAGGAGCAGCCUAUAGUCUCUUUCAAGCUGUGAAAUGGUAAGUAACAGCAGAAUAUAAAUAGGUUUUCAAGGAUUCAAAGACUGAGAGGACA